GAUCGAGUAGCAGGAGCGGUGGAGUUGCAGUGGAUCUAUCGACGGAAGAUAUGGUCGCCCCCGAAUCUGGGGUGAGUCUCCUUUCGAUUUCAAUACGUGAUUCAGAGGGGCAGAUUUGACGGCCAAGCACUAGAUGGUCCAGCGGCGAGAGCGUCAGUGACACCGUGGAGGAAGAGAGGGAACGCAGCGAGCGGCAGAAGAGAGGGCAUCGUGAGAAAGAGAGGGCUAGGGUUUGGGGGAGUGGAGAGAGAACGAUGAAUGAAUCGGGUAACAACGUGGUUCUAAAAACUAAUUAUAUAAGGGUAAAAUAGGUAUUUCAAAUUGUCUAG
rnacentral:lncRNA from 1 species